rnacentral:rRNA from 1 species
UCCAGACUCCUACGGGAGGCAGCAGUGGGGAAUAUUGCACAAUGGGGGGAACCCUGAUGCGGCGACGCCGCGUGGGUGAAGGAGCACCUCGGUGCGUAAAGCCCUAUCGGCAGGGAAGAAACAGACGGUACCUGACUAAGAAGCCCCGGCUAACUACGUGCCAGCAACCGCGGUAAUACGUAGGGGGCAAGCGUUAUCCGGAUUCACUGGGUGUAAAGGGAGCGUAGACGGCGACGCAAGUCUGGAGUGAAAGCCCGGGGCCCAACCCCGGGACUGCUCUGGAAACUGCGCCGCUGGAGUACGGGAGGGGCAGGCGGAAUUCCUAGUGUAGCGGUGAAAUGCGUAGAUAUUAGGAGGAACACCAGUGGCGAAGGCGGCCUGCUGGACGACAACUGACGGUGAGGCGCGAAAGCGUGGGGAGCAAACAGGAUUAGAUACCCUGGUA